rnacentral:rRNA from 1 species
CGAAAGGCGUGCUAAUACCGGAUGAUGUCGUAAGACCAAAGAUUUAUCGCCCAAGGAUGAGCCCGCGUAAGAUUAGCUAGUUGGUGGGGUAAAGGCCCACCAAGGCGACGAUCUUUAGCUGGUCUGAGAGGAUGAUCAGCCACACUGGGACUGAGACACGGCCCAGACUCCUACGGGAGGCAGCAGUGGGGAAUAUUGGACAAUGGGCGAAAGCCUGAUCCAGCAAUGCCGCGUGAGUGAUGAAGGCCUUAGGGUUGUAAAGCUCUUUUACCCGGGAUGAUAAUGACAGUACCGGGAGAAUAAGCUCCGGCUAACUCCGUGCCAGCAGCCGCGGUAAUACGGAGGGAGCUAGCGUUGUUCGGAAUUACUGGGCGUAAAGCGCACGUAGGCGGCUUUGUAAGUCAGAGGUGAAAGCCUGGAGCUCAACUCCAGAACUGCCUUUGAGACUGCAUCGCUUGAAUCCAGGAGAGGUGAGUGGAAUUCCGAGUGUAGAGGUGAAAUUCGUAGAUCUU